CUCCUUGGCUUGCUCCCGUUUCUAAUAAAGUCACAACAUCAGAGCUGUGUACAUCCGUAACUUCUUGCAUUAUUGACCUUUGCUCUGAAACAGAAACAGAAUCCUCUUUGCUCCUGGAAGGCUGCUUGAUGCCUUGGAAAUAGCCCGGAAGCUGGUGGAGGCAGAUGCCAGGGUAACUGGUCUGCACCGUGUCACGGACAGUGAGCCAGGCUCGCUCUCUCCUCUACCAGCGACAGUCAGUCCUACACCCACACAACUGGAUACAGACGUUUGCUCUGUCUUAUCCUCCCACCCAGGAUCUCGGGAAGUUCAAAAGCUUUGGUGUGUUUAGAUAGAUAGCGCCAAGCGUGCAGGUAGUUGGCGAAUGUUGGCGGCCAUUGUUAGAAUCCAAGAGGACCAUAUUCCUCAGAAUCGGAGGCCUGUUUCACGAGGAAAUCUUUCUCAUGAUUUCAGGGAACGUGGUGGAUUUGGUAGAUUUCGAUGGAUGAAGAACAGAGCUGACUGACAUGGCAGCCCGGCAGCCUCAGGACAUUUGCACUUGCUGCCAUCCCCCCAGAGCCCUCCUGAUCUUUGCUGCGACGUCACCUUCUGGGCUUCUUGGAUCACCGUGUUUGAAGACGACACCUGCCCUUCACCCCUCACCUCUUCCUUGGUUUUAUUUUUCUCCAACUAACAUACUAUGUACUUCACCGUUACUUUAACAUAACAGCCAUCUCGGCCCCGCCAGGAUGACAGCAACGUGACAGCAGAUGUUUUUGUCACUCUGUACAUUCACUGCUGGAUCCUUGGGAUGUUGCAUAGCGCCUGGCACGUAGCGGGCCCCCCACAAGCCCCUGGUGAACACCAAGUGGAUAAAUGAGGGAAUGAUUAAACAAAUUAAGAGAGCAGCAGAAGCUAUUUGGCCCCUCCUGGGCAGAGGAUGUCCCUGCCCUCUGUUCUGGAACUCCUGAAAAGUGCCAGACUAUGGACUUUGUAAGAGGGAACGGACAAAACCGGGGUCCAGAUCUUGGCUGUUUACCAACACCCCCCCCCUGAGGCAGUCACCACCUCUCCCCUGCUCCUCCAAGCCCAUCUUUUAUUUUUUAGACAGCUUAGUCAGCUCCUUUUAGCCCAAGCAAAACCGUCUGGUUUCUUCACAUCUGUCUUAUUUGCUGGAGGUACAAAUUAGACAUAAUAAAAGGCACAGACCUGAAGCGUG